rnacentral:rRNA from 1 species
CCUACGGGUGGCAGCAGUGGGGGAUAUUGCACAAUGGGCGAAAGCCUGAUGCAGCGACGCCGCGUGAGGGAAGACGGUCUUCGGAUUGUAAACCUCUGUCUUCGGGGAAGAAAAUGAUGGUACCCAAAGAGGAAGCUCCGGCAAAUUACGUGCGAGCAGCCGCGGUAAUACGUAGGGAGCAAGCGUUGUCCGGAAUUAAUGGGGGAAAAGGGAGCGGAGGCGGGAUGGCAGGUAGAUUGUUAAAUCCAUCGGCUCAACCGGUGGCUGCGUUCUAAACUGCCGUUCUUGAGUGAAGUAGAGGCAGGCAGAAUUCCUGGUGUAGCGGUGAAAUGCGUAGAUAUUAGGAGGAACACCAGUGGCGAAGGCGGCCUGCUGGGCUUUAACUGACGCUGAGGCGCGAAAGCGUGGGGAGCAAACAGGAUUAGAUACCCCUGUAGUC